CACAGUUGUCACUUUCUGUGGGUGUUGCAAUUACCCUAUCCUGUAAAUUAUUUCAUUGUUAAGAUUUGUCACACUAUUACGGUCCUUACUUUCUUUUGGUUACUUAGAAAAAGUCUCCUCUGAAAACCUCUAUCCAUGUUUCAACACAUCGGAGAUAAAAGGAAAUCUACUUAAAAGAUUAUCAAGAAAGGUGAGGACCUUUCUAUGAAUCAAACGCAAGUACAAGAGACAUUGAAGAAGAAACACUUUCCCCAUUUAACGUCCACUCAAAAAUCUCUAGUUUCUCCUGAAGAUGACUGUUAAGUCUUGCCACAUUUCCCAGAAACGGCUACCUUCUGACUUCUAUUAAAGAAUUUAGAAAAAGAAAACAAACUGAAUACAAGCUACUUAAUGGAUACUGGCAAGCCGUCAAACAGACAAACAAAGAAGUGAGGAUAAAUGAUGCUUUCCAAAUUUAAGAGAUGCUGAAAUGAAAUAUAAACAUUCUGUGACUAUAAGGAAUAUGUGCAUAAUGCAAUGUAUCAGGAAAGAACAAGGAUAUCUUUAAAAACAAUAGAUUUACAUAGGAAAUCCUGUGAUAAGCCACCAUGCUUCAUACCAGGCAGCCCAGGUUAGAAGGCUCUGGAGUCCCGUAAUGCUCAACUAGGUUAAUACUCAACUAGGUCAAGACUCAACUAAGACAAUAUCAAGGAAUCAGACAAUGAAAACUCUACCUUGUCCCAUCAAAGCUUCUGUAUCUCAGGAUGGAGGCAAGAAGGCUGACAUUGAAAGAAAGGCCAACGUUUCAACUGAGGCCGUGGAAGCCAAGGACAUUUUUACUGGAUUGGCCUUUGUGCUUGACAACUGACUGUUACUUCAACUAUACUCUAGUGAUAAUUCUUCCUCUGUAUUAUUCAUUUAGGGAAGUAUGAUGCUGAAACACCUAAGAGCUGCCUUUCUCCAGAGCUAGAACUGCAAUUACAAGUAAAUAAACUAUAGAUUUUUCCCAAA